AGGGGUGUAGCUCAGUGGUAGAGCCCUUGCCUAGCAUGUGCAAGGCCCUGGGUUCUACCCUCUGCUCCACUA
rnacentral:tRNA from 1 species